GAUGAACGCUGGCGGCGUGCCUAAUACAUGCAAGUCGAGCGAACGGACGAGAAGCUUGCUUCUCUGAUGUUAGCGGCGGACGGGUGUGUAACACGUGGAUAACCUACCUAUAUGACUGGGAUAACUUCGGGAAACCGGAGCUAAUACCGGAUGAUAUUUUGAACCGCAUUGUUCAAAAGUGAAAGACGGUCUUGCUGUCACUUAUAGAUGGAUCCGCGCUUCAUUAGCUAGUUGGUAAGGUAACGGCUUACCAAGGCUACGAGGCAUAACCGACCUGAGAGGCGGAUCGGCCACACUAGAACUGGGACAGGGUCAAGACUCCUACGGGAGGCAGCAGUAGGGAAUCGUCCGCAAUAGUCGAAAGCCUGACGGAGCAACGCCGCGUGAGUGAUGAAGGUCUUCGGAUCGUAAAACUCUGUUAUUAGGGAAGAACAUAUGUGUAAGUAACUGUGCACAUCUUGACGGUACCGAAUCAGAAAGCCACGGCUAACUACGUG
rnacentral:rRNA from 1 species